GACUCAUCCUCUUCCAUCUUUAAUGUGUAGUCCAACAUUCUGAAUAAAAGUAACACGACAGCUCUCCUGGUGGAACUGAGCCGCAAAAGCUACAAAAGCUCCAGCUCCUGUUCCUGGUUUUUGGUGUAGCUAAGGCCAAAAAGAAAAUGAUUUUAAUCCAGACUGCACACAGGAGCAGCGCUCUAUCUAAUGGCCUGUGCCCAGCAAAAUCAAGAUAGUACUACAAAAAAGUCUUACCUGUGGCAUUCACAGUCAAAUAAAGAAAGCAACAGAAAAGCUACACACAAACAGGACCGACAAUCAAUGUGCAAAAGAAGACAAACUGUGCAAAUACAAAAAAAAACAAACAAAUAAAGAAAUAAUACUGAGAAAAUGAGUUGUAGAGUCCUUGAAAGUGAGUCCAUAGGUUGUGGAAUCAGUUCAGUAUUGUGAAAGGAGACAAGUUUGACUGCAGUAAUUACAAAGAAGUCUUCCUGCUGUCUGCUAUAUGGAACAUCAUCACAACCAUCCUUUUCAACCUCCUCCUCCUAGUGACUGUGGCACUCCUCUCAGGGAAGCAAUGAGAAUAACGUCAAUCAGAGGAUAUAGUGUACAUGAUUUCCACUGUACAUGAACAGCCAGAAAAUUUGCACAGAGCACUACCAGACCUUGCAAAAGCCGCCGACUCCAAUCAUUGAGAUAAAUUAUGAAGACUUCUUCUCAAAUUUGGCUGCCCUCAGAAACAUGUUACCAUUCUACAGUAUGUACUACAUGUUAUGCAAGCUGUGACAUUAACCAGGGGGUCCACAGACCCAGUGUGCCGACUGGGGUCAAGCAAGGUGGCUUCAUUAUACCAAACCGCUUCUCAAUCAUUCCUGUUGUUAUCUGCACACUGUGAUUUGUAAGCUUAGCAUUAUUACAAGUUUAUCAUGCAGUGUAUUCAGCUUGAAUUAACUGUAUCUCUUGUUGAAGAAAAGAUCUUAUUAGCAAUUCUGUGACUGAUAUAUACAUGCAGGUGACAUAACAUCAUCAGAGAGAGUGCAAACUAAUAUUUGCUUUAUGUUCUAUUUAUCUAUCUGAUUAAACUUUACUUGUGAUGGUUUAAAUUAAUUGUACCUACUUUUACAGUGUUAUUUUCAUGUUUAUUACAAAGGCUAACCUAAUCACGAAUUGGUACAAAAAUUGUAAAGAUUUUGACGAUGGAUAUUUUGUUUGUUCACAGAAUCAACUAAAUUAAAAUACAAGUAAAAUAAAUUUAUUAUAUACCAUGUGCAUUUUUUAUGUAUCCCAAAACUUUAAUCUUAGGAACUACACCAUAGACAUAGAAAAUAUGAAUUGCAAAUUAAUAUUUAUAGCCAGUAAACCAGUAACAAUUCUCAUAUAUACUAGCUUGCUUGUUGUGGCUGUGUUGCCAACUAACAGUAUCAGAAAUUGUUUCUUGGAAUUACAGCUGGAAUAUCCAGUUACACAGUAAUAGAUUUUAUUUCUGCCAUAGUUCCAGAAAUGAAUGACUUCUGUAAAAAUCCAUGCACUGACAGCAAUUUGCAUUAAUUAAAGGGCUUCAACUGCCUCUUCCCUUCUACAAACAUAAACAAUAAGUCAAACUGCAUGUGAAUACAGUAAGCAACACUGUGUUUAUUUUAGGUUCAACAGUAUCUCAUUUACACGUGUUAAUUAGAGCUAAUUGGGACUAAUUAAAUGAACAGGAACCCCUCUGGGGAUGUUCAUACCUAUAAUUUUGGUAAAUAGUCUUAAUUAACAUAUGCAAGUUAGGGCUAAUUAGCAUUGAUUAAGGGAUUUUAGCUAAAUUUUAAAGCGCUGCUCUUCAAAUACUAUAAGCAGU